UACGUAGGGUGCGGGCGUUAAUCGGAAUUACUGGGCGUAAAGCGUGCGCAGGCGGUUCGUUGUGUCCGUCGUGAAAGCCCCGGGCUUAACCUGGGAACUGCGAUGGAAACUAGCGAGCUGGAGUGUGGCAGAGGGGGGUGGAAUUCCGCGUGUAGCAGUGAAAUGCGUAGAGAUGCGGAGGAACACCGAUGGCGAAGGCAGCCCCCCGGGCUAACACUGACGCUCAGGCACGAAAGCGUGGGGAGCAAACAGG
rnacentral:rRNA from 1 species